GGCGGACGGGUGAGUAACGCGUGGGAACGUGCCCUUCUCUAUGGAAUAGCCACUGGAAACGGUGAGUAAUACCAUAUACGCCCUUCGGGGGAAAGAUUUAUCGGAGAAGGAUCGGCCCGCGUUAGAUUAGGUAGUUGGUGGGGUAAUGGCCUACCAAGCCUACGAUCUAUAGCUGGUUUUAGAGGAUGAUCAGCCACACUGGGACUGAGACACGGCCCAGACUCCUACGGGAGGCAGCAGUGGGGAAUCUUAGACAAUGGGCGCAAGCCUGAUCUAGCCAUGCCGCGUGAGUGAUGAAGGCCUUAGGGUCGUGAAGCUCUUUCGCCAGAGAUGAUAAUGACAGUAUCUGGUAAAGAAACCCCGGCUAACUCCGUGCCAGCAGCCGCGGUAAUACGGAGGGGGUUAGCGUUGUUCGGAAUUACUGGGCGUAAAGCGCAC
rnacentral:rRNA from 1 species